AAGAUUCUCAUUAUAAUGUUUACUUCUAGCAACACUAUCCUGAUGCUGUCAGAGUAAGUGGUAAAGCUCCAGCAUCAGUGAUUUUGUUGUUAGUGGUAAAUUCAAGCAGCCAACAAUUUU
rnacentral:pre_miRNA from 12 species